rnacentral:misc_RNA from 1 species
GAUGAAGAACGUAGUGAAAUGCGAUACUUGGUGUGAAUUGCAGAAUCCCGUGAACCAUCGAGUCUUUGGACGCAAGUUGCGCCCGAAGCCAUCAGGUUGAGGGCACGUCUGCCUGGGCGUCACAUAUCGUUGCCCAAUGCCUAUUGCAGUGCAAUAGGAAUUUCUAGGGCGAAUGAUGGCUUCCCGUGAGCGUUGUUGCCUCGCGGUUGGUUGAAAAUCGAGUCCUUGGUAGGGUGUGCCAUGGUAGAUGGUGGUCGAGUUAGAACGAUACCGAUCAUGUGCAUGCUCCCCAAAAUAUGGCCUCUAUGACCCACACGCGUCUUUUGACGCUCAUGACGAGACCUCAGGUCAGGCGGGGCUACCCGCUGAAUUUAAGCAUAUCAAUAAGCGGAGGA